UGGGGAAUCUUGCACAAUGGGCGAAAGCCUGAUGCAGCAACGCCGCGUGCGGGAAGAAGGCCCUCGGGUUGUAAACCGCUUUCAGAAGGAACGAAACUGACGGUACUUUCAGAAGAAGGUGCGGCCAACUACGUGCCAGCAGCCGCGGUGACACGUAGGCACCAAGCGUUGUCCGGAUUUAUUGGGCGUAAAGAGCUCGUAGGCGGUUCAGUAAGUCGGGUGUGAAAACUUUGGGCUUAACCCAAAGCGUGCAUCCGAUACUGCUGUGACUUGAGUACGGUAGGGGAGCGGGGAAUUCCUAGUGUAGCGGUGAAAUGCGCAGAUAUUAGGAGGAACACCGGUGGCGAAGGCGCCGCUCUGGGCCGAAACUGACGCUGAGGAGCGAAAGCAUGGGUAGCAAACAGGAUUAGAUACCCGAGUAGUCCCUGAGCGGGCUGGCAAGGCGCAU
rnacentral:rRNA from 1 species